GGAUUUUUGUUUGAUAUGUAUAACUAUGUAACUAUAUACACUAUAUAUCUGUGUGCACUGAACAUAUAUAUUUUAACUUUCAUGUAGAGUCUUAAGCACAAGACAUUUUGCUUCACCGAGGUUUAUUAAGUUGGUACUGUAACAGGGCAGUUAAUGUAGGGGGAGAGUUCUCUUGAAUAAUUUACUUAAUAAUUAAUUAAUUUAACGUCUUUAAUGCAGCACAACCAAAACAGUAACAUUGUAAUAGAGAUCCUGAACACAUCACGAUAAAAUAUCAUACAAAAACACACACACACACACACACACACACACACACACACACACACACACACACUCUGAACCCAAACUGAAGUGUUUUUAAGCAUGUAACCUAUGUAUUAUAUGUUAUAAGAUUGUGCCACUUGCUGAAUAAGAUUUAAUAAUUAGGAUUAAUAUCUGACCUUUGACCGUGUCAUGACCUAUUGUGAUAAGCCAGAGCAGGGGUACUCAGAGUCCUGACUGGCCUUUGGCCAAGACCUUGGCCGCUAUCUGACCCCAGCAGCUGUGCGGGGCGUGUGGGAAAGUUACCCAGCAGCAGGGGGCGGCGAUACUGGUCCCUAUAUUAGGGGACCAGAGGACGCCCCCAGGGCUCUUUUCCUCCUGCUGCUGCUACCUGUCCGUCUCCGUGUUGCUCUGCUGUCUGUGCUUAAGGCUGUACACCCCGGGGUUUUGCUUUGCUUGCUUUCUGCUUUGUAAUUUUCUUGCUAAAUGUCUGUAUGUAUUUUUCCUGCUGUUCAUAUGAUUCAGUGUAUUAAACUCUGUUCCAAGAAUUCUACUCUUUUACAGAGCAUCUUUUUGACUGUCUUGGUUUUAAUUGGAUUUGGAUCUCCACAUCGUUUGUGGAAGAAGGUUAUCAGAAUGGCUUCAAAAUUUGCGACCACAAUUGGCGACGUACGAAGGGACAAGGAAUUAAGGUGAUUGCUGGGAGCCUUGGGGAAUGCCAAAGCCUUGCACAUCAGAGAACACCAAGCGGCCGCUACAAUAAGGAGAUGGCUUCUGGAUGGCAGAUGGAGAUGCAGAGGUCCUGGAGCAGGUGCUGGCAAUCUGAUGACGAGUGCGAGGGAACAACGGGGUGAAACAGGCUGCUCCAGACAGCUGAGCCAUGACCCAUCCAGUAGCUGCUGAACCUGCUGCAGAGCCUACAGCCCAGGUGGAGCUGUACCGUGCCCAAACCAGCUUCCGAAUGAUGGAUGUGCAAGAUCAACUACUACCCAGCGCCGACCCUGACUUUAGUCAAGAGUAGGACCAAGUCGUCUCGAGUAUUCUUAGAAGCUAUGCAAGAUCCAGCAGUCAAGAAGUACCAUAAGAGACUUUUCUCGGACUCAUAAAUUAGUUGAAAUAUGGACUGAAAAAGGGACACAAGUUGAGUAAAGGUUGAAGCUGACUGCAGAGAAAUGUCAACCUUGAAGCUAACAAAGGACAUUUCAAAGCCCACACUGAGAAGUCUGUUCAGAAGAAGAAGUUGCACCUGACCAAGAUGAGAUCCAAGAUUGGAAAUUAGUUGUUUAAUCGUGUUAUUAUUUUAAUGUCACUAAUGGUGUUGUGUAGUCCAUGUAUGUAUUAUGUGUCUCUGCUGAUGUGUUUUGUGCCUUACUUUCAUUUUCCUGUAAUUAGGCUGAUUUUUAAGUUUCUUGAGUAUUCUGUUUAGGAUACUGUGGAGUAUGAUUUGCAAAUGAAGAUGAAUCAAUUUGUCUUAAAUUAAUUGACUAAGAGAAAUGGAAUCUUGGGAGAAUGUUAUGUUGAUGACUAUGAGGUUUUUGGUAGAAGGAAGGGCUUAUUCAUUUGAGCAAUAACGGUGUGGGAUCUUUAUACAAAUUCUUAUGUUCUAUUUAGAGCUUGCUUUAAAAUAUGUUAGCAAAAAAACAGCGCACGCAUUAGUUUUCACAAUUUUUGUUCUUCUUUAGUUAUGGGGUCUUUUUAGGUGGUACCUCUAGGUACCACAGGGGGGAAUGUGGUGGAUUUUUGUUUGAUAUGUAUAACUAUGUAACUAUAUACACUAUAUAUCUGUGUGCACUGAACAUAUAUAUUUUAACUUUCAUGUAGAGUCUUAAGCACAAGACAUUUUGCUUCACCGAGGUUUAUUAAGUUGGUACUGUAACAGGGCAGUUAAUGUAGGGGGAGAGUUCUCUUGAAUAAUUUACUUAAUAAUUAAUUAAUUUAACGUCUUUAAUGCAGCACAACCAAAACAGUAACAUUGUAAUAGAGAUCCUGAACACAUCACGAUAAAAUAUCAUACAAAAUACACACACACACACACACACACACACACACACACACACACUCUGAACCCAAACUGAAGUGUUUUUAAGCAUGUAACCUAUGUAUUAUAUGUUAUAAGAUUGUGCCACUUGCUGAAUAAGAUUUAAUAAUUAGGAUUAAUAUCUGACCUUUGACCGUGUCAUGACCUAUUGUGAUAAGCCAGAGCAGGGGUACUCAGAGUCCUGACUGGCCUUUGGCCAAGACCUUGGCCGCUAUCUGACCCCAGCAGCUGUGCGGGCGUGUGGGAAAGUUACCCAGCAGCAGGGGCGGCGAUACUGGUCCCUAUAUUAGGGGACCAGAGGACGCCCCAGGGCUCUUUUCCUCCUGCUGCUGCUACCUGUCCGUCUCCGUGUUGCUCUGCUGUCUGUGCUUAAGGCUGUACACCCCGGGGUUUUGCUUUGCUUGCUUUCUGCUUUGUAAUUUUCUUGCUAAAUGUCUGUAUGUAUUUUUCCUGCUGUUCAUAUGAUUCAGUGUAUUAAACUCUGUUCCAAGAAUUCUACUCUUUUACAGAGCAUCUUUUUGACUGUCUUGGUUUUAAUUGGAUUUGGAUCUCCACAUCGUUUGUGGAAGAAGGUUAUCAGAAUGGCUUCAAAAUUUGCGACCACAGUGGACACCAAGAUACUUAAAGGACUGCACCCUCUCCACUGGAGCUCCAUUAAUGAUAAUGGGCUUGUAGUCUCUGUGCU
ensembl:lncRNA